CUACCAGCCUAGCGCAUGCAAGUCGAGCGGUAGCACAGAGAGCUUGCUCUCGGGUGACGAGCGGCGGACGGGUGAGUAAUGUCUGGGAAACUGCCUGAUGGAGGGGGAUAACUACUGGAAACGGUAGCUAAUACCGCAUAAUGUCGCAAGACCAAAGUGGGGGACCUUCGGGCCUCAUGCCAUCAGAUGUGCCCAGAUGGGAUUAGCUAGUAGGUGAGGUAACGGCUCACCUAGGCGACGAUCCCUAGCUGGUCUGAGAGGAUGACCAGCCACACUGGAACUGAGACACGGUCCAGACUCCUACGGGAGGCAGCAGUGGGGAAUAUUGCACAAUGGGCGCAAGCCUGAUGCAGCCAUGCCGCGUGUAUGAAGAAGGCCUUCGGGUUGUAAAGUACUUUCAGCGGGGAGGAAGGCGAUAAGGUUAAUAACCUUGUCGAUUGACGCUUACCGGCAGAAGAAGCACCGGCUUAAUUCCGUGCCAGCAGCCGCGGUAAUACGGAGGGUGCAAGCGUUAAUCGGAAUUACUGGGCGUAAAGCGCACGCAGGCGGUCUGUCAAGUCGGAUGUGAAAUCCCCGGGCUCAACCUGGGAACUGCAUUCGAAACUGGCAGGCUAGAGUCUUGUAGAGGGGGGUAGAAUUCCAGGUGUAGCGGUGAAAUGCGUAGAGAUCUGGAGGAAUACCGGUGGCGAAGGCGGCCCCCUGGACAAAGACUGACGCUCAGGUGCGAAAGCGUGGGGAGCAAACAGGAUUAGAUACCCUGGUAGUCCACGCCGUAAACGAUGUCGAUUUGGAGGUUGUGCCCUUGAGGCGUGGCUUCCGGAGCUAACGCGUUAAAUCGACCGCCUGGGGAGUACGGCCCCAAGGUUAAAACUCAAAUGAAUUGACGGGGGCCCGCACAAGCGGUGGAGCAUGUGGUUUAAUUCGAUGCAACGCGAAGAACCUUACCUGGUCUUGACAUCCCCAGAACUUAGCAGAGAUACUUUGGUGCCUUCGGCAACUGUGAGACAGGUGCUGCAUGGCUGUCGUCAGCUCGUGUUGUGAAAUGUUGGGUUAAGUCCCGCAACGAGCGCAACCCUUAUCCUUUGUUGCCAGCGGUCCGGCCGGGAACUCAAAGGAGACUGCCAGUGAUAAACUGGAGGAAGGUGGGGAUGACGUCAAGUCAUCAUGGCCCUUACGACCAGGGCUACACACGUGCUACAAUGGCAUAUACAAAGAGAAGCGACCUCGCGAGAGCAAGCGGACCUCAUAAAGUAUGUCGUAGUCCGGAUUGGAGUCUGCAACUCGACUCCAUGAAGUCGGAAUCGCUAGUAAUCGUAGAUCAGAAUGCUACGGUGAAUACGUUCCCGGGCCUUGUACACACCGCCCGUCACACCAUGGGAGUGGGUUGCUAAAAGAAGUAGGUAGCUUAACCUUCGGGAGGGCAGCUAACCCCAU
rnacentral:rRNA from 1 species